rnacentral:snoRNA from 1 species
UGGCGAUGAUGAUGAAAAAGGCCGGACUUACGGCUGCUCGCCAAAGUGCUUUUAGGAUCUUUGGCAGUUGGUAGUAGAAUGAUGCUACUGGUCGAAAGGUUGUUGUCUGAGCCAG